CUCAUUUUUAUCAGUGUGAGUUUUUGGGGGAUCCAAGUAGCCCAGUUUCUACAAUUGAUAGCUACAUUUUGGGGUGAAUCCAGGGCACUAAGUAACAAUUUCCAAGUGGAAAAAGGCUGGAAUCACUUGACAACAGGCAUCCACCCUGCAAGGGUGCCCAGAUCUCCCCUGGGCGUGUCUUUCCUUGGCCUCCAGAGAGAAUGUUCACCAACCUCACAUCAUCACAGACCAACAGCCCCGCCCAGGCGCAGCCAUGGGGCGGCAGCCAACACCACGCCUGAGGCCAGAGGAGCCCUCCUGGGGGCCACGUGACUCAGACCUGGUGACCGGCCCUUGACAGUCAGCAGAAGGUCACAGGGGCCUUCAGAGACCUGAAUGGGAAGGAGAAAAGCACGGUCAUCUCCUUCUCCAAGGAAACAAUCAAGAGAGAACACUUCUGUGGUACUCAUUUGAAUAAUAUUCCUUUUCACCUGCCAUGGAAAGUGAUCUGGAUAUUAACCAACGUUACUUUCAAUAAGUGCAGCUGCAAGGGUUGCUUCGUACCAUGUUUUCUUUUCUUUUCUCUCUUUCUUUAUUUUUCUGGCCACACCGCAAGGCUUGCAGGAUUUUAGUUCCCUGACCAGCGACUGAACCCGGGCCCUGGCAGUGAAAGCGCCGAGUCCUAACCGCUGGACCGCCAGGGAAUUCCCCAUAUUUUAUUUUCAACGUCACUGGAAGGGCUACCUGGAAAAAUUGCUCAGAACCUAUUUCCAGGACCUCCUGCGGUUGACUUUAGUCUGUAAAGUCUUCAUUCUCUCCCGUGUCGCUGCCGAGUCAAGUUAAGAACAUGCCACUCCAGUUCUGUGCAUUCCGGUUUUCCACCUUGAACGAUGUACAAGGACAUUCUCUCCUAAUUUGUUUUCCUGCCGUAUUUUGUUGCUGGACAGGACGUCUAUUCAGCUCUGCCCCACCGCGCCUUCAUCUCCACUUGUGGGAAUUUGUAGAGGUUCAGCGGUGUCUCCCUGAGCAGGAAAAAGCUGAUGUGGUUCCUGCAGUGACAGCGGUGGCUUUGUUCUGUUUCUCACAGGUGAAAUUCAGGAGAGGGAAACCCCUGAACAAUGAGCAAAGAACCAGCGGAGGGAAGGGGUCCCCAGGUGGUUAACUGGUCUGUUUAUAUACUGGUUUCAGUAUUGGUCGCUACUACCCCAUGGGAAAGACCUUUAUAAAAUAGAGUCCACUGUUUAUGUGGGGUUCGUUUUGCCUUUAGUCUACAGAGUCUGUUCAUUUCCAAAGUUACCGAGCUCCGCACCUUUUGCCCCACCACCAACACCAUUAUGAAUGGAGAUGCUGCGGACAUAAUUUAUCAAAACAGUUGUCUAAAUGGUGGAAGAGCAAUUGUUGGAUCCUGAGAUGGGAUCCUGGCUGCAGACAGUUGGUCCUCAAGCUUCCCACCUAAGAGAACCCUGAGGUCUCCCCCGUCAUCAGCUGAUACCUUGCUAGGUUGUUCAUGGAGAAAUUGCCCACCUGGCAAGAGCAGAAGCAUCUUCCCAACACGUGAGAGAAGAGCGCGCAUGGGCUCGCACCCAUCUUAUCCCUCCCUGCCUGCCCUGGCUCCAUCGUGUCAGGAAAAGGUGUCCCUCCUCCUGCCCAAAGCCAGACCCCAGCUAAAGGACUUCGAUGUAAAGGAAACCAGAUUAUUGUCUUGAGCUACAGACACUUGAAAAACCAAAACCAAAACAGCAGCAGAACCAAAACAAACAACCCCCCACUACAACACAUGCAAGAAGGAUGUGGAGAUCCCUGUCCUCUUUCUUCCUGGAAGCAGGAGAUCACAUAUCCAUCCCCCCCGACCCCACCGCCCAGGAAAGAGGU